CGUCGCGCGUCGCAAACUGUCGCCAACAAGUUGAAACCAACAGCGGGAAACAAAUGAACUAGAAAACGUAGGUUGGCACUUCUGACAUUCAAAUAUAGAGUAUACAACAAACAGAUUAUUAUUAACAAAUGGCACAUCGCACGUGUCUCUAUAACAUAAAUUCAGUUAUUUGACAAAAUGUCUUCUGAGCAUGCCACUGACAAUCUGGAUUUAACUCCAUAUCCAUCUGUAUUAAAUUUAUCAACAUGGAAAAAUCAUCACCGAAACAGCACAAUUCGUAAAAAUGCGUUGUUAACGUUUCGCGAACGUAUAAAAACUACAAACACCUUCAACUCCAAUGUGUAAACAUAAAUGAAGUAAAUGAAUUGCCAGAAAAUAUAAAAAAAGAAAUGCUAUCAACACUUUCAGAAAUACAAACCAACGUAAACAAAGUCCUAAAACGCACUCUACUAGAACAACUCUUAAAAGAAAAAUCAUACAUAUUAGUUGAUUCUACCGAUGAAUCUUCAGAAAAUGUAGAGUCUGAUGAAGAUAAUGAAAUGGUUGAAGAAUCUGAUUCGAAUUAAUAGAGCAUUUUCUUAUUUUUUUUAUUUUCGAAUAUCGCACAGUUUAUAUAUGUACAAUUUGCAUCUGUAUUUAACAAUCAUAUAACAUCAACAACA